rnacentral:lncRNA from 1 species
AGCAAUUAAAAUCAUAUAUAACACGACAUCUCAUUUCAAAUCAUUUCAAAUAGCACAACACAUACAAACCAUAGACGCGACCAUUUCACAUCACAAGCAUACAUCUCACAAGUCCAAAACAUCACAUAUAUAUGUCACGACAUAAUAUUACAAGUGUUCGUCUCACAAGAUUGCAACAUAUUACAACUGUUCAUCCGCCAAAUAUCCAUAUAUACAUGAAAAGAAAGAAGAGAGUGACUCGGGAACCUUUUACAUCCACCAU